GCUAAGCACUGGACACUAGCCCAGUCUCUGUGCAAGCUCUCACUUACUUAAUCCACACAGCUCCUUUUUGAGGGUGGAACUGAGGCAGAAACAUGCCAUCUGUUUGCUCAGUGUCUCACAGUUUGCAGACUCUGAUUCAAACCAAAUGAUUUUUUUUUUUUGGGUCAGAGGCCAAUGAUGGGUAAAGAGGGCCACAGCUGGGUGUCCUGAUCACCCCAUAAAUCCUUGAGGACCAUGUUGUCUUAUUUACUUCCUGACACCCACACAGAUAUAGUACAGACUGGCAAUGUCACUGGUGUAAGGUAUGGCCUGAGUGCUGGCUAGCCAGCCUGGGUGGAGGCCAGGAUUUCUUGUGCUCUGUCUGACCUCUGUGUGGUCCCUUUGGUUGAUUGGUAUCGUUUUUAUGGUGGCUCACAUUUUCCUUUACAACAGAACGUACAUCCCUAACUUCAUACUCGCACCUUAACUUUUAACCCAGUCUGUAUUAAUAGCUGGUCACACCUCUUGCUCAUGUGAAUGAGAUUUGAGUUUUCACACAGGGCACUUGCUAGUCAAAGUGUCUCCCACAACGCAUCUGUGCUAUGAAGAGCAUAAGUACAGGAGACUUUCUUUUUCCUUCAAAAAGAAUGUAUUUUGAAACACUCUUAAUUCAUCUCUAAGCUCACCCUGUCCCCUGGAAGUGAUACCAGUUAGUCACACUUCAUUAGGGAGCCCUUUAAUUUAUGGCCAAUGGUUCUCAACCUGUGCAUUGUGACCCCUUUGACAAGUCUCUGUCUCCAAAAAUAUUUACAUCACAAUUCACCACAGCAGCAAAAUUAUGGUUAUGAAGUAGCAGUGAAAUAAUGUUAUGGUUGGGCAUGAAUACAACAUGAGGAGCGAACAGUAUUAAAGGGUCCCAGCAUUAGGAAGGUUAAGAUCCCCUGGCUUAGGCAUGUCCUGCCCUCCAUCUGCUGCUGUGUGGUUGGCAUGUACCAGGUGUGUCCAGCAAACAUACCUGCCUUAGAGGCCUGUGCUCUCUGAAGUGCCGCCCCAGAAUGCCACACUUCAAAGAAACCACACUGCAGCUGUCACCUGGCUAUCGUGAGGAGGUCAGGGAGUUAAUAUGCAACCAUGAAACUGUGCACUCCCACCUCCAACUGACACCUGGGACUUGGGGGACAUUUUUUUUUUUUUUUCUGGUACAGAGAAUUUGAAUGUUCCAUUCAAUUCUGUUCAGUAUUGUUCCUAAUUUGCCCCAGCAGGAGUUCAGGGCCUCCUGCCUUUAGAUAAAGAGCAGUGUACAUAUCUCUCCCAAAACAAAAGAAGAGGAGACACCGAGGUUUUCUUCUUCAAAUAAGAAUUAUUGAGUAUUUGCAGCUGCUGUUAGCAGGAGUUUAAUAAUGGGACUAAUUUGUUUAAAAAAAAAAGUAGAGAAGCUUUCUAACAUGAGACACCUUUUAUCUGAGGAUUACAUGUUUCACAUGCAAAUUAGCCAAUUCUCCUCUUGGCUGUGUUUGGUAUGCUCUCAAUUACUGUUUGACACUGUCCUUGGGCAUCCAGCACUCUGGUUAUGGGGUGGGAAGUCGAAGUUUAUUUAUAAGUUGUUGCAGUAUGGAUGUAGAUUAGAUCUCAGAGAGGACUUCCUGGUUAUGAUGCUAUUAAGUGAGUUGCUGGGGGAGUUCUUUUUAAAGAGUUGCACGAGAGGACUUCCUGCCUCUUUGAUGGUGCUCUUUUCAGGAAUGAAAACCAAGCCACCAUCCACUUCUCAUAGAGCAAACUGAGUGUCUGACUUCACCAGAGAUAAUAGAGCAUCAAAGAAAAGAAAGAGGUUUGAAGUGAGUGACUAGGGAGACCCAAGUUCUGUGAGAUGCUGCUUGAAGGGCCAGGACUCUUUGAAGCCCAGGGUUGCAGGCCAGUGGGCCUCAGUUCAAAGAUAGGACAUGAGCUCGUCUAGAGUAACAUUUGCUGCUGUUCUAUUCUUUUCAAUUUUAUUUUACUUAGUGCGCACGAGUGUGUGUUUGUGUGUGUGUGUGUGCUGGUGUGUGCAUGCAUGUUCCUGUGUGUGCUGGUGUGUGUAUACAUGUUCAUGUGUGUGCUGCUGCUGCUGCUGCUGCUGUGUGUGUGUGUGUGUGUGUGUGUGUGUGUGUUUAUGUGUGUGUGUACAUGUGUAUUUGGAAUAUCAGGGUUCUAACUUAUGUGCUGUUCCACAGGCUUCACUCAUCUUUUUGUUUUUCUUUAGAUGGCAUCUUUCAUUGGCCUGCAACUAGCCUACCAGGCUAGACUAGCCAGCCAGCCCCAGAGAUCUCCUUACCCCUCCCUUCCCAGUACCAGAACACAAGCAGAUGCCACUUUGUAGGCUCUGAAGAUCAAACUUGGAACCUUGAGCUUGCAAGGUGAAGAUUUGCGUGUAGCUUCCUGUUUAGCAAUGCAAAACACUGCUUACUACAGACCUGCAAGCAAGGUACUGGGUGAGGCACCUUCAGCACACAGCGAUGGGGUCUCGGGGCCAUCUGUGUGCAAUGGCAUGCAUUGACGAUCAGUAAGACAAUUUAUCGCUUCUGAGAAAUCAGUGCCGCAGGGGCUCUGUGUUUCAAGCCAUCUCUGUGGAAUUACAGAUGGG
rnacentral:lncRNA from 1 species